rnacentral:rRNA from 1 species
AGUGAACGCUGGCGGUAGGCCUAACACAUGCAAGUCGAACGGCAGCACAGUAAGAGCUUGCUCUUACGGGUGGCGAGUGGCGGACGGGUGAGGAAUACAUCGGAAUCUACUUUUUCGUGGGGGAUAACGUAGGGAAACUUACGCUAAUACCGCAUACGACCUACGGGUGAAAGCAGGGGAUCUUCGGACCUUGCGCGAUUGAAUGAGCCGAUGUCGGAUUAGCUAGUUGGCGGGGUAAAGGCCCGCCAAGGCGACGAUCCGUAGCUGGUCUGAGAGGAUGAUCAGCCACACUGGAACUGAGACACGGUCCAGACUCCUACGGGAGGCAGCAGUGGGGAAUAUUGGACAAUGGGCGCAAGCCUGAUCCAGCCAUACCGCGUGGGUGAAGAAGGCCUUCGGGUUGUAAAGCCCUUUUGUUGGGAAAGAAAGGCAGCAGGUUAAUACCCCGCUGUUCUGACGGUACCCAAAGAAUAAGCACCGGCUAACUUCGUG